rnacentral:tRNA from 1 species
GCGCCUGUAGCUCAGCUGGACAGAGCAGCGGAUUUCUAAUCCGCGGGCCAGGGGUUCGAGUCCCUUCAGGCGCGCCA